rnacentral:rRNA from 1 species
UACAGAGGUCUCAAGCGUUGUUCGGAUUCAUUGGGCGUAAAGGGUGCGUAGGUGGCGCGGUAAGUCGGGUGUGAAAUUUCGGAGCUUAACUCCGAAACUGCAUUCGAUACUGCCGUGCUUGAGGACUGGAGAGGAGACUGGAAUUUACGGUGUAGCAGUGAAAUGCGUAGAGAUCGUAAGGAAGACCAGUGGCGAAGGCGGGUCUCGUGGACAGUUCCUGACACUGAGGCAACGAAGGCCAGGGGGAGCAAACGGGG